rnacentral:rRNA from 1 species
GAUGAACGCUGCGGCGUGCUUAACACAUGCAAGUCGAACGAUGAAGCCCAGCUUGCUGGGUGGAUUAGUGGCGAACGGGUGAGUAACACGUGAGUAACCUGCCCUUAACUCUGGGAUAAGCCUGGGAAACUGGGUCUAAUACCGGAUAGGAGCGUCCACCGCAUGGUGGGUGUUGGAAAGAUUUAUCGGUUUUGGAUGGACUCGCGGCCUAUCAGCUUGUUGGUGAGGUAAUGGCUCACCAAGGCGACGACGGGUAGCCGGCCUGAGAGGGUGACCGGCCACACUGGGACUGAGACACGGCCCAGACUCCUACGGGAGGCAGCAGUGGGGAAUAUUGCACAAUGGGCGCAAGCCUGAUGCAGCGACGCCGCGUGAGGGAUGACGGCCUUCGGGUUGUAAACCUCUUUCAGUAGGGAAGAAGCGAAAGUGACGGUACCUGCAGAAGAAGCACCGGCUAACUACGUG